rnacentral:lncRNA from 1 species
CAACCUCACACUAUCAUAUGAAAGUUGGCUGCAUUGGAGAGACAGGAAUUAAUAUUAAAAAUGUUUUCAGUUCAGAUUGAUAUCUUACAUUUCCAAAUAUUAUUUUCUUUUGAAUAUGUGGUAUAAGUAAUCUGCUUUAAGUCCUAUUUUAGGUUGGGUGCAGUGGCUCACACCUGUAAUCCCACCAUUUUGGAAGGUUGAGACCAGGAGUUCAAGUGAUUCUCCUGCCUGAACCUCUUGAGUAGCUGGGACUACAGGCACGCACCACCACGCCCAGCUAAUUUUUUGUAUUUUUAGUAGAGACAGGGUUUCACCAUGUUGGCCAGGAUGGUCUCGAUCUCUUGACUUCGUGAUCUGCCCGCCUCGGCCUCCCAAAGUGCUGGGAUUACAGGUGUGAGCCACUGUGCCUGGCCCCACAUUUUUUAAAACAAUGACUUUAGGGUUUCAGCUUUUCCUGUCUUUUAAAACAAAUUAGCCAUUUUUUAUUCUAAGAAAGGGUUGUAUUAUAAAGCUGACCUACUACUAGCUUAUCAGAAAAAACACGUGGGUCUCAUAUCUGAUUCUCCUAUGUAGCCAAAAGUGCCAUUUGUAAGUCUACUAAAUGACGGAUAUUUUCUGAAGAUCUUUUGCCUGGAAAACAAAUAGUGCAUUAAAAAGCUUUUU